UCCCAAUGAUGAGAUCACGGCGUGUCUUACGCUCUGCCUUGGCACCAGAACCUGUAAAGGUUGAACCCACUGGAGCCAGCAGAGGGAAAAGAGGAAACACGGUCCCAAAAGGAACUGUCUGAUGGGAU